rfam:Gasterosteus aculeatus cont1.006158, whole genome shotgun sequence.
GCCGAAAUAGCUCAGUUGGGAGAGCGUCAGACUGAAGAUCUGAAGGUCCCUGGUUCAGUCCCGGGUUUUGGCA